GGGGCUGAAGCACGGGGCUGGAAGCUGCCCGGGGCGUUCGAAGAGCGAACGGCUCACUCCUCUCUGCGCUGCGUGUAGUCGCUCACCUCACGUCAGUUUGUGUCCCACUGUGACAGGAGUAAAUGCUUUUCUGAAAAGAUUCUUAGCGGUGACAGAGAUGAUCGGAAGAAGGAGGAUUCUGUGAAACUGAAGGCAUUUGUCAAGGACUGCGACUUGCUGCAAGACAAAAAUGCAACAUGUUUGGUGGGGCAGUUUCUGCAGUGUGCUGCGGUGUGCUGUUGUACUGAGUGCAGCGUACUGCGGCUCAGACGUGAGCUGUCACAAG
rnacentral:lncRNA from 1 species